UACAGAGGUCUCAAGCGUUGUUCGGAUUCAUUGGGCUUAAAGGGCGCGUAGGCGGUCGGCCAAGUCUGGGGUGAAAUCUUUCGGCUCAACCGGAAAAGUGCCCCCGAUACUGGCCGUCUAGAGGGAGGUAGGGGCAUGUGGAACUUCCGGUGGAGCGGUGAAAUGUGUUGAUAUCGGAAGGAACGCCGGUGGCGAAAGCGACACACUGGAUCUUGUCUGACGCUGAGGCACGAAAGCCAGGGGAGCGAACGGG
rnacentral:rRNA from 1 species